UUUAUGAUCAAGGUUAGGUUAAGGAACUCGGCAAAUAUACUUUUCGCCUGUUUAUUAAAAACAUGUCUUUUUGAUUAUAAUUUAAAGUCUGGCCUGCCCAAUGAGGAGUUAAAUGGCCGCGGUAAUUUGACCGUGCAAAGGUAGCAUAAUCAUUAGUUUUUUAAUUGAAAGCUGGAAUGAACGGUCGGACGAGAAAGUGACUGUCUCGAUUUAAUUGUUAUUAGAAUUUUAUUUAUAAGUAAGAAAGCUUAU
rfam:Oryctes borbonicus contig668, whole genome shotgun sequence.